CUGGAGGGAUGAUCGGUCCUGCCUUGGAAGCAAGAGAACGUCCUGGUGUCUGGGAAUAUUUUGGGCAUAAAACUGGAGGUGGUGGAAUUGCCUCUCUGUCCGUGUGCUGAGCUCCGGCUGCAGGGAUUGUCAGGCAUUGUUGGCUGUGGUGGAAUUGCCUCUCUGUCCAUGUGCUGAGCUCCAGCUGCAGGGACUGUCAGACAUUGUUGGCUCUGUUGCCUGGUGUCAUUUCCCUGCCUGAGCUGGCUGUGGGUUGGUGUGGGACGCGAGGCCGGAGAGAGCGAGCGGAGGAGCCUCGGGCUGGAGAGGGGCAGGAGAAAGGCCCUGUGGGCAAAGGGACGUCCCUGUGUGCCCAGGGCCCUGCAGGGGACAGGAUGGACACUCUGGGGUCACUCUGAGGGGCAUCUCCGAGGGCUCUUGCUUUAGGGCCACUGAGGGAAGAUUGCCCCGGCUUCAACAGUGCUGCUGGCUGCCGGCCUCCGGCUGGAAGGGCAGGGAUUUGGGGUGGGCGGGACACACGUGGGGGGCACGUGGCAGCUCUGGGAGGUGGGCCCUGGGAAUGGCUGCCCGUGCUGGUCCACAAACACAAGGUGCCUGCAUUCCCAAGUGCCAGCAGCGUCAGCAUAAAAGAGGAGAUUCAUUUUCCGGGAAUUACAUCGCUGGCCCUCAGAAGGGGUUUGGGGUGUUUUGGGCAGCAUCAGCGCGGGGCUCAGUUCUGAACUGGGGCAAACCCUGUCCACGCUGCGGGUGCCGUCCUGGGCCCAGGCCAGAGGGGCUGCGGUUGCCAGCUGCUCCCCG